AUUGAACGCUGGCGGCAGGCCUAACACAUGCAAGUCGAGCGGGAACUUCGGUUCUAGCGGCGGACGGGUGAGUAAUGCGUAGGAAGCUACCCGACAGAGGGGGAUACCAGUUGGAAACGACUGUUAAUACCGCAUAAUGUCUACGGACCAAAGUGUGGGACCUUCGGGCCACAUGCUGUCGGAUGCGCCUACGUGGGAUUAGCUAGUUGGUGAGGUAAUGGCUCACCAAGGCGCCGAUCCCUGGCUGGUUUGAGAGGAUGAUCAGCCACACUGGGACUGAGACACGGUCCAGACUCCUACGGGAGGCAGCAGUGGGGAAUAUUGGACAAUGGGCGAAAGCCUGAUCCAGCCAUGCCGCGUGUGUGAAGAAGGCCUUCGGGUUGUAAAGCACUUUCAGUAGGGAGGAAGAGUUGAGUGUUAAUAGUACUCAGCUUUGACGUUACCUACAGAAGAAGCACCGGCUAACUCUGUGCCAGCAGCCGCCGUAAAAC
rnacentral:rRNA from 1 species